rnacentral:rRNA from 1 species
UUGAUCCUGGCUCAGGACGAACGCUGGCGGCGUGCCUAAUACAUGCAAGUCGAGCGGACAGAUGGGAGCUUGCUCCCUGAUGUUAGCGGCGGACGGGUGAGUAACACGUGGGUAACCUGCCUGUAAGACUGGGAUAACUCCGGGAAACCGGGGCUAAUACCGGAUGCUUGAUUGAACCGCAUGGUUCAAACAUAAAAGGUGGCUUCGGCUACCACUUACAGAUGGACCCGCGGCGCAUUAGCUAGUUGGUGAGGUAACGGCUCACCAAGGCAACGAUGCGUAGCCGACCUGAGAGGGUGAUCGGCCACACUGGGACUGAGACACGGCCCAGACUCCUACGGGAGGCAGCAGUAGGGAAUCUUCCGCAAUGGACGAAAGUCUGACGGAGCAACGCCGCGUGAGUGAUGAAGGUUUUCGGAUCGUAAAACUCUGUUGUUAGGGAAGAACAAGUACCGUUCGAAUAGGGCGGUACCUUGACGGUACCUAACCAGAAAGCCACGGCUAACUACGUGCCAGCAGCCGCGGUAAUACGUAGGUGGCAAGCGUUGUCCGGAAUUAUUGGGCGUAAAGGGCGCGCAGGCGGUUCCUUAAGUCUGAUGUGAAAGCCCCCGGCUCAACCGGGGAGGGUCAUUGGAAACUGGGGAACUUGAGUGCAGAAGAGGAGAGUGGAACUCCAUGUGUAGCGGUGAAAUGCGUAGAGAUGUGGAGGAACACCAGUGGCGAAGGCGACUCUCUGGACUGCAACUGACGCUGAGGAGCGAAAGCGUGGGGAGCGAACAGGAUUAGAUACCCUGGUAGUCC